rnacentral:rRNA from 1 species
CUGUGGGAUCAGUGGCGAACGGGUGAGUAACACGUGAGCAACCUGCCCCUGACUCUGGGAUAAGCGCUGGAAACGGCGUCUAAUACUGGAUAUGUGACGUGACCGCAUGGUCUGCGUUUGGAAAGAUUUUUCGGUUGGGGAUGGGCUCGCGGCCUAUCAGCUUGUUGGUGAGGUAAUGGCUCACCAAGGCGUCGACGGGUAGCCGGCCUGAGAGGGUGACCGGCCACACUGGGACUGAGACACGGCCCAGACUCCUACGGGAGGCAGCAGUGGGGAAUAUUGCACAAUGGGCGAAAGCCUGAUGCAGCAACGCCGCGUGAGGGAUGACGGCCUUCGGGUUGUAAACCUCUUUUAGCAGGGAAGAAGCGAAAGUGACGGUACCUGCAGAAAAAGCGCCGGCUAACUACGUGCCAGCAGCCGCGGUAAUACGUAGGGCGCAAGCGUUAUCCGGAAUUAUUGGGCGUAAAGAGCUCGUAGGCGGUUUGUCGCGUCUGCUGUGAAAUCCCGAGGCUCAACCUCGGGCCUGCAGUGGGUACGGGCAGACUAGAGUGCGGUAGGGGAGAUUGGAAUUCCUGGUGUAGCGGUGGAAUGCGCAGAUAUCAGGAGGAACACCGAUGGCGAAGGCAGAUCUCUGGGCCGUAACUGACGC